rnacentral:tRNA from 1 species
GCCUGGGUGGCGGAAUUGGUAGACGCAGCAGACUCAAAAUCUGCCGUCCGCGAGGAUGUGCUGGUUCGAUUCCAGUCCCAGGUA